GAUGUACUCCCUCCGUUCGGAACUACUUGUCGCGAAAAUGGAUGUAUCUAGAUGUAUUUUAGUUCUAGAUACAUUCAUUUCCGAGACAAGUAAUUCCGAACGGAGGGAGUAUUGC
rnacentral:pre_miRNA from 1 species